CUGGGUACCUGAAAGCAAGAGAGGCUUUCCUAAGUGGAGCAUAACAAAAUCACCCCACAGGCAGCAGAGAUCCAUUUAGAGGUGAAAUAAAUUCCAGCUGACCCUGUGGCAGGAUUUCCAGGCAGCCACUGCACGGACUGGGGUCAUGAAGUGUGCUGGUCCUUGACACACGCAAGAGAAGGCCUGGAAGACCUUGGCAUGAAGAAACAGGGAGAUAUGGACAUCCCGAAGAUGGACUCAAAAGGUUUGUCUUCUAAUGAUAAUGACUGUCCCCAAGAGAAAAAGCAGAAACCCCAAAUACUGGGAAGAGCGCAAGCGCAGUCCCCCACUACCACAAAUUAUGCAGUCGAGUUCCCCCCUUGUGGGGAAAUCACAGGGUCAGCACAUCAUUCUGAGCAAUCUUGAUGCAGGACUGUACUCAGAGAUACUCCUGAAACACUCUGUGACCUACUGACCCCGAGCAGCAGCCCAGAUAAAAGUGAGAUGACUCGUGGGACCCAAGGACAGACUGCAAAACUAAUUAGAAAGUUGCUGGACAUCUGCAAAGUCCCAUACAAGAACUCGAAGCUUUCCCGGAGACAAUUUCCUCACCUCAACUCCAAAAGAGGACCUCCUCCCUCCCAGAGGGAAGUGUCUCUCAACUGUGCUUAAAGCGGUCUCUUCUCACCUCAAGCGAAAGACCUACUGUGUUCUUUUUGAAGUGACUCUAUGCUUUGAUGAAAUUGUGGCUUAAUUCUUUGCUGCUGUGUGUGUACAUUCAAGCUUGCUUAUCUCUGGACACUAACCACAUGGGUUUGGAGCUUGCUAGUUCUGUUACGUUUCUGGGAUGGUUUGCCUCAGUUCUUGCUUCUCAAUGUUGAAAGAAAUCACAUGGCAGAAGCACUUUUGGAAAUCCAAGUAACUUUUAUGAGGGAAGGGAUGUUUCUGUAAUACAGUCUCAGAUAGUACAAGCCCUCUCUGCAAGGCAUGCAAGGCUGUGUAGCAGGGGCCAUGGGAAAGUUUGCAACCAGAAAUGGCUGCUUUGGAGGAGCACGGAAAACCACAUGAAAGGAGUAACAGAACAAGGGUGUGGAACAAGAGGGCGACUGCCCUUGGUCCCUGAUUUGUAUCCCCUCCUACCCUUCUAGAGGGGCAUAUUUGAGAGUAUUGACCAUUCUUAGUGGCUGAGUUCAGGCGCCUGUGUGAUGUAAUGUUGCUGGUGCCUAUUGUGUAUGCCCAGGUUCACCUUCACUUACAUCCCCUAAUAAUAACUUGCAUCAGUUAUUAUCUAUAUGUAUGUACUCCUGUGCUUCACAAGCUGGUAAUCACAACAGAAACACUAAAUAAAAAUGAAAUGAAGUGGUAAGGAUAAAACAAUAGUAAUAUAAAGAUAAAAAUACAAACAAUAAGAAAGAAGAAACUACCAUCAAUGCUUAAAAAUUCAUGGUAGGAAUUUUUGCCAUGGUACAAGCAAGAGAUCCUGGCACUUAGAACAAAUUCAGGUUGGGUCUAGAGGGAGGUCAACUGACCAAUUAUCAAGGUUGAUCCAGCAUAAGCAGGAUUAGUGUGAUCUGUGAUUAGAAGUAAAGUCAUUUCAGACCUUUGCCUGUGGCUAGAGGGGAUCUGCUCUAGAGGUUAAUCUGUUUAGGUGUCCUGCGAUGGGUUUUGGGCUCCCACUGCCCUCCACAGCCUUCCACAAAUUAGUGUUCACAAUUUUAA